GCACUUCCUCAGUUCCUCCAUUUACAUCCCUUAUCUUCUCAGAUAGAGAAGCUUGAUCAGAGACAGUACUUUCACUCCCUAUAAGUUCGGAAGGAUCAAAAGUUAGGUUGUCAUCACUAGCAUCAAAGAAAUUGAGGUACUCAUCAACCAUGUCAAAAACUGUAGAAUCUCCAGCAGAGUCUGGCUCCACAGGAUUCGACAGAUCAUUGGCCUCCAGGAAAAAUCCUUCGCUGAAUGGAGGAUUGCCAAUAGCAUCCAAGAAUGGCUCAUCAAGCAGGAA
rnacentral:misc_RNA from 1 species